AUGGCCUCUUGAGGCUUAAUAAGAGGUCUGGCCUGCCCACUGACACUAAAGGGCUGCAGUAUUUUGACUGUACAAAGGUAGCAUAAUCAUUAGUUUUUUAAUUGAAGACUGGUAUGAAAGGUACGACGAGAAGGGGCUGUCUCAACCAUAGUAGUUGAAUUUUACUUUUCUGUUAAAAGGCAGAAGUACAAYAGUAGGACAAGAAGACCCUUUUAAACUUUGUUUAACUUARGCGUUUUAGUUAAAAAUACAAAAUUAAACGSCUAAGGCAGACUUUGCUGGGGCGGCAAGUAUAAAAUCAAUACUAUAAAUUAAUUGUUUUAGGCAUAUAAAAAGAAGAGACCCUAGGAGUUAGAAGAAGAAAAAGUUACUAAAGGGAUAACAGCGUAAUAUUGUUUGAGAGCUCUUAUUGACAACAGUGUUUGCGA
rnacentral:rRNA from 1 species